rnacentral:rRNA from 1 species
GACGAACCGUGCGAACGUUGUUCGGAAUCACUGGGCUUAAAGGGCGCGUAGGCGGGCUGUCAAGUCUGGGGUGAAAUCCCGCGGCUCAACCGUGGAACUGCCUUAGAUACUGACGGCCUCGAGGAAGGUAGGGGCAUGCGGAACUGUAGGUGGAGCGGUGAAAUGCGUUGAUAUCUACAGGAACUCCGGUGGCGAAAGCGGCGUGCUGGACCUUUUCUGACGCUGAGGAGCGAAAGCGUGGGGAGCGAACAGG